CUGGGCCGCACGCGCGCUACACUGA
rnacentral:ncRNA from 3 species